rnacentral:rRNA from 1 species
UGGCGACCGGCGCACGGGUGAGUAACGCGUAUCCAGCCUGCCCUUUACUAUGGGACAGCCCGUCGAAAGGCGGAUUAAUACCGUAUGUUGUCAUGUUGAUGCAUAUUUUCAUGACCAAAGGCUUCGGCCGGUAAAGGAUGGGGAUGCGUCUGAUUAGCUUGCCGGCGGGGUAACGGCCCACCGGGGCGACGAUCAGUAGGGGUUCUGAGAGGAAGGUCCCCCACAUUGGAACUGAGACACGGUCCAAACUCCUACGGGAGGCAGCAG